ensembl:snRNA U6 U6 spliceosomal RNA
UCAUGUGGCCAAAAUUAAUAAUGAGAGUGCUAAAAUUGGAAUGAUACACAGUAGAAUAGCUUGGCCCUUGUGCAAGGAUAACAUGCAAAUUCAUGAAGUGUUCCAUAUUUUU